GAUGAACGCUGGCGGCGUGCCUAAUACAUGCAAGUCGAGCGAACAGACGAGGAGCUUGCUCCUCUGACGUUAGCGGCGGACGGGUGAGUAACACGUGGAUAACCUACCUAUAAGACUGGGAUAACUUCGGGAAACCGGAGCUAAUACCGGAUAAUAUAUUGAACCGCAUGGUGCAAUAGUGAAAGGCGGUUUUGCUGUCACUUAUAGAUGGAUCCGCGCCGCAUUAGCUAGUUGGUAGGGUAACGGCUUACCAAGGCAACGAUGCGUAGCCGACCUGAGAGGGUGAUCGGCCACCCUGGAACUGAGACACGGUCCAGACUCCUACGGGAGGCAGCAGUCGGGAAUCUUCCGCAAUGGGCGAAAGCCUGACGGAGCAACGCCGCGUGAAUGAUGAAGGUCUUCGGAUCGUAAAGCUCUGUUAUUAGGGAAGAACAAAUGUGUAAGUAACUAUGCACGUAUUGACGGUACCUGAUCAGAAAGCCCCGGCUAACUACGUG
rnacentral:rRNA from 1 species